GACGAACGCUGGCGGCGUGCUUAACACAUGCAAGUCGAACGGAAAGGCCCUGCUUUUGUGGGGUGCUCGAGUGGCGAACGGGUGAGUAACACGUGAGUAACCUGCCCUUGACUUUGGGAUAACUUCAGGAAACUGGGGCUAAUACCGGAUAGGAUCUCCUGCUGCAUGGUGGGGGUUGGAAAGUUUCGGCGGUUGGGGAUGGACUCGCGGCUUAUCAGCUUGUUGGUGGGGUAGUGGCUUACCAAGGCUUUGACGGGUAGCCGGCCUGGGAGGUUGACCGGCCACAUUGGGACUGAGAUACGGCCCAGACUCCUACGGGAGGCAGCAGUGGGGAAUAUUGCACAAUGGGCGGAAGCCUGAUGCAGCAACGCCGCGUGCGGGAUGACGGCCUUCGGGUUGUAAACCGCUUUCGCCGGUGACGAAGCGUGAGUGACGGUAAUGGGUAAAGAAGCACCGGCUAACUACGUG
rnacentral:rRNA from 1 species